rnacentral:rRNA from 1 species
AGCAGUAGCCGCGGGAAUACGUAGGGUCCGAGCGUUGUCCGGAAUUACUGGGCGUAAAGAGCUCGUAGGUGGUUUGUCGCGUUGUUCGUGAAAACUCACAGCUCAACUGUGGGCGUGCGGGCGAUACGGGCAGACUAGAGUACUGCAGGGGAGACUGGAAUUCCUGGUGUAGCGGUGGAAUGCGCAGAUAUCAGGAGGAACACCGGUGGCGAAGGCGGGUCUCUGGGCAGUAACUGACGCUGAGGAGCGAAAGCGUGGGGAGCGAACAGGAUUAGAUACCCCCGUAGUCCCUGUCUCUUAUAC